UGCGCCUGUAGCUCAGUUGGAUAGAGCAACGGACUUCGAAUCCGUAGGUCGCACGUUCGAGCCGUGUCGGGCGCACGUU
rnacentral:tRNA from 1 species